CAGAGAGAAGCAGCUGAGUGUAUAUAGUACGUAACCAUGAGCUGAAUAAACCUGAAAAGUCCUGUUAAACUGUUGCUGUAAAAGGGCUUUGGAAACAGUAAUUGGGUAGCAGGUGUGACUCAUCAUUAUGAUGGUAAUUGUGAACAAGUGUGUGUUGGGAGUUGGAGUCUGGGGCAGCCAAGUUUGAAGGCUGCAGUGUCUGAUAUUUAUUUUUAGUAACAAGGAUUAGCAAUGGCUUACAUCUGACAGUUUGAUGGCAAGAUUAUGAACUCGAGCUGCAACAACAGUUUGGGAACCAUGCUCUGGAUCAGGUGUGUAAACUGUACAACAGAAAGGCGCGACGUCACUGGCGGGGAUACAACACAACCAGGAAGCUAUAAAAGCACAUGCGGUGGAGACGACGCUAGCUUCUGUUUGUUCAGGAAGCGCUCUGUGUGUGUCUGUGUCAAAGUAAAAAUUAUAUAAUAUAUAAUUAUAUAUAAGUA